CAAGGGUUCCUGUCCAACGUUAAUCGGGGCAGGGUGAGUCGACCCCUAAGGCGAGGCCGAAAGGCGUAGUCGAUGGGAAACAGGUUAAUAUUCCUGUACUUGGUGUUACUGCGAAGGGGGGACGGAGAAGGCUAUGUUGGCCGGGCGACGGUUGUCCCGGUUUAAGCGUGUAGGCUGGUUUUCCAGGCAAAUCCGGAAAAUCAAGGCUGAGGCGUGAUGACGAGGCACUACGGUGCUGAAGCAACAAAUGCCCUGCUUCCAGGAAAAGCCUCUAAGCAUCAGGUAACAUCAAAUCGUACCCCAAACCGACACAGGUGGUCAGGUAGAGAAUACCAAGGCGCUUGAGAGAACUCGGGUGAAGGAACUAGGCAAAAUGGUGCCGUAACUUCGGGAGAAGGCACGCUGAUAUGUAGGUGAAGCGACUUGCUCGUGGAGCUGAAAUCAGUCGAAGAUACCAGCUGGCUGCAACUGUUUAUUAAAAACACAGCACUGUGCAAACACGAAAGUGGACGUAUACGGUGUGACGCCUGCCCGGUGCCGGAAGGUUAAUUGAUGGGGUCAGCGCAAGCGAAGCUCUUGAUCGAAGCCCCGGUAAACGGCGGCCGUAACUAUAACGGUCCUAAGGUAGCGAAAUUCCUUGUCGGGUAAGUUCCGACCUGCACGAAUGGCGUAAUGAUGGCCAGGCUGUCUCCACCCGAGACUCAGUGAAAUUGAACUCGCUGUGAAGAUGCAGUGUACCCGCGGCAAGACGGAAAGACCCCGUGAACCUUUACUAUAGCUUGACACUGAACAUUGAGCCUUGAUGUGUAGGAUAGGUGGGAGGCUUUGAAGUGUGGACGCCAGUCUGCAUGGAGCCGACCUUGAAAUACCACCCUUUAAUGUUUGAUGUUCUAACGUUGACCCGUAAUCCGGGUUGCGGACAGUGUCUGGUGGGUAGUUUGACUGGGGCGGUCUCCUCCUAAAGAGUAACGGAGGAGCACGAAGGUUGGCUAAUCCUGGUCGGACAUCAGGAGGUUAGUGCAAUGGCAUAAGCCAGCUUGACUGCGAGCGUGACGGCGCGAGCAGGUGCGAAAGCAGGUCAUAGUGAUCCGGUGGUUCUGAAUGGAAGGGCCAUCGCUCAACGGAUAAAAGGUACUCCGGGGAUAACAGGCUGAUACCGCCCAAGAGUUCAUAUCGACGGCGGUGUUUGGCACCUCGAUGUCGGCUCAUCACAUCCUGGGGCUGAAGUAGGUCCCAAGGGUAUGGCUGUUCGCCAUUUAAAGUGGUACGCGAGCUGGGUUUAGAACGUCGUGAGACAGUUCGGUCCCUAUCUGCCGUGGGCGCUGGAGAACUGAGGGGGGCUGCUCCUAGUACGAGAGGACCGGAGUGGACGCAUCACUGGUGUUCGGGUUGUCAUGCCAAUGGCACUGCCCGGUAGCUAAAUGCGGAAGAGAUAAGUGCUGAAAGCAUCUAAGCACGAAACUUGCCCCGAGAUGAGUUCUCCCUGACUCCUUGAGAGUCCUGAAGGAACGUUGAAGACGACGACGUUGAUAGGCCGGGUGUGUAAGCGCAGCGAUGCGUUGAGCUAACCGGUACUAAUGAACCGUGAGGCUUAACCUU
rnacentral:rRNA from 1 species